UCAUAGAGUUUAUUUAAACUCAUGAUGUCGUAAGGGAAAAUAAUGAUAAUACCUUACUAAUAGUGUCGUCCAAAUCUGGUGCCAGAAGACUCGGUAAGACCAGAGACGCAAACGUUAAUCAUCUUAAACAGGCGUAAAGGGUUUGUAGGCAGCUUUCAGAAGUACUAUAAUUAAGCAAAUAAAGUAGUCUAAUUGGAAGCUAGAAUCAAAUGGAGGUUAUAGUGUAUAACGCUUAGAGGAGGGCUGAUAUCCUAUAGAUCCUAAGCAGAAUACUCAGGGCGAAGGCCACUUUCCACUAAUGAUUGACGCUGAGAAACGAAGGUUAGGGUAGGAAAUAGGAUUGAUACCCCGGUACCCCUUUCUGUAAACGAUGAAUGGUAGUCAUUAGUUUAG
rnacentral:rRNA from 1 species